AGCAGCCGCGGUAAUUCCAGCUCCAAUAGCGUAUAUUAAAGUUGUUGCAGUUAAAAAGCUCGUAGUUGAAUUUCGGGAUCAAUUUAUUGGUCGUGCUAUUGUACGUACUGGUAUUAUUGAUUCCUACCUUCUGACGAACCAUGAUGUCAUUAAUUUGGUGUCAUGGGGAAUCAGGACUGUUACUUUGAAAAAAUUAGAGUGUUUAAAGCAGGCUCACGCUUGAAUACAUUAGCAUGGAAUAACGAAAUAGGACGUUUGAUUCUAUUUUGUUGGUUUCUAGGAUCGACGUAAUGAUUAAUAGGGAUAGUUGGGGGCAUUAGUAUUCAAUUGUCAGAGGUGAAAUUCUUGGAUUUAUUGAAGACUAACUACUGCGAAAGCAUUUGCCAAGGAUGUUUUCAUUAAUCAAGAACGAAAGUUAGGGGAUCGAAGACGAUCAGAUACCGUCGUAGUCUUAACCAUAAACUAUGCCGACUAGGGAUCGGAUGAUGUUAAUUUUUAAUGACUCAUUCGGCGU
rnacentral:rRNA from 1 species